rnacentral:rRNA from 1 species
AACGAACGCUGGCGGCGUGCUUAAUACAUGCAAGUCGAACGUGAUUCCCGACUUCGGUUGGGAUGAAAGUGGCGAACGGGUGAGUAACACGUAAGUAAUCUGCCUUCAAGUUUGGGAUAACCCUGCCAACGCGGGGCUAAUACCGGAUGUGGUCCAGCAGACCCAUGUUUGCGGGAUUAAAGGUCGCGAGACCGCUUGGAGAUGAGCUUGCGGCCCAUUAGCUAGUUGGUGAGGUAACGGCCCACCAAGGCAGGGAUGGGUAGCCGGCCUGAGAGGGUGUACGGCCACAUUGGGACUGAGAUACGGCCCAGACUCCUACGGGAGGCAGCAGUCGAGAAUAGUCUACAAUGGCCGGAAGGCUGAUAGUGCGACGCCGCGUGAACGAGGGAGCCCUUCGGGUGUAAAGUUCUUUUCUAUACGAGCAGUGCUAUAUAUAUGGAUAGUAUAUAUAGAGGGAUAGUAGUAUAGGAAUAAGCAACGGCUAACUCCGUGCCAGCAGCCG